GAAGGUGUGCUGUGAGGCAUGCUGGAGGUAUCAGAAGUGCGAAUGCUGACAUAAGUAACGAUAAAGCGGGUGAAAAGCCCGCUCGCCGGAAGACCAAGGGUUCCUGUCCAACGUUAAUCGGGGCAGGGUGAGUCGACCCCUAAGGCGAGGCCGAAAGGCGUAGUCGAUGGGAAACAGGUUAAUAUUCCUGUACUUGGUGUUACUGCGAAGGGGGGACGGAGAAGGCUAUGUUGGCCGGGCGACGGUUGUCCCGGUUUAAGCGUGUAGGCUGGUUUUCCAGGCAAAUCCGGAAAACUAAGGCUGAGGCGUGAUGACGAGGCACUACGGUGCUGAAGCAACAAAUGCCCUGCUUCCAGGAAAAGCCUCUAAGCAUCAGGUAACAUCAAAUCGUACCCCAAACCGACACAGGUGGUCAGGUAGAGAAUACCAAGGCGCUUGAGAGAACUCGGGUGAAGGAACUAGGCAAAAUGGUGCCGUAACUUCGGGAGAAGGCACGCUGAUAUGUAGGUGAAGCGACUUGCUCGUGGAGCUGAAAUCAGUCGAAGAUACCAGCUGGCUGCAACUGUUUAUUAAAAACACAGCACUGUGCAAACACGAAAGUGGACGUAUACGGUGUGACGCCUGCCCGGUGCCGGAAGGUUAAUUGAUGGGGUCAGCGCAAGCGAAGCUCUUGAUCGAAGCCCCGGUAAACGGCGGCCGUAACUAUAACGGUCCUAAGGUAGCGAAAUUCCUUGUCGGGUAAGUUCCGACCUGCACGAAUGGCGUAAUGAUGGCCAGGCUGUCUCCACCCGAGACUCAGUGAAAUUGAACUCGCUGUGAAGAUGCAGUGUACCCGCGGCAAGACGGAAAGACCCCGUGAACCUUUACUAUAGCUUGACACUGAACAUUGAGCCUUGAUGUGUAGGAUAGGUGGGAGGCUUUGAAGUGUGGACGCCAGUCUGCAUGGAGCCGACCUUGAAAUACCACCCUUUAAUGUUUGAUGUUCUAACGUUGACCCGUGAUCCGGGUUGCGGACAGUGUCUGGUGGGUAGUUUGACUGGGGCGGUCUCCUCCUAAAGAGUAACGGAGGAGCACGAAGGUUGGCUAAUCCUGGUCGGACAUCAGGAGGUUAGUGCAAUGGCAUAAGCCAGCUUGACUGCGAGCGUGACGGCGCGAGCAGGUGCGAAAGCAGGUCAUAGUGAUCCGGUGGUUCUGAAUGGAAGGGCCAUCGCUCAACGGAUAAAAGGUACUCCGGGGAUAACAGGCUGAUACCGCCCAAGAGUUCAUAUCGACGGCGGUGUUUGGCACCUCGAUGUCGGCUCAUCACAUCCUGGGGCUGAAGUAGGUCCCAAGGGUAUGGCUGUUCGCCAUUUAAAGUGGUACGCGAGCUGGGUUUAGAACGUCGUGAGACAGUUCGGUCCCUAUCUGCCGUGGGCGCUGGAGAACUGAGGGGGGCUGCUCCUAGUACGAGAGGACCGGAGUGGACGCAUCACUGGUGUUCGGGUUGUCAUGCCAAUGGCACUGCCCGGUAGCUAAAUGCGGAAGAGAUAAGUGCUGAAAGCAUCUAAGCACGAAACUUGCCCCGAGAUGAGUUCUCCCUGACUCCUUGAGAGUCCUGAAGGAACGUUGAAGACGACGACGUUGAUAGGCCGGGUGUGUAAGCGCAGCGAUGCGUUGAGCUAACCGGUACUAAUGAACCGUGAG
rnacentral:rRNA from 1 species